rnacentral:tRNA from 1 species
GACUUAGCUCAGUGGUUAGAGUUUAGGCCUUGUGACCGGAGCAUCUCGGGUUCGAAUCUCGCCAGAGGCA